rnacentral:rRNA from 1 species
GAUGAACGCUAGCGGCAGGCCUAAUACAUGCAGGUCGGACGGGAUUCAGGAGCUUGCUUCUGAUGAGAGUGGCGCACGGGUGCGUAACACGUAUGUAACCUACCUUUAUCAGGGGGAUAGCCUCUCGAAAGAGAGAUUAAGCCCGCAUAAAAUCACAGCACAGCAUUGUGUAAUGAUCAAAUAUUUAUAGGAUAAAGAUGGGCAUGCGGAACAUUAGCUAGAUGGCGGGGUAACGGCCCACCAUGGCGACGAUGUUUAGGGGAUCUGAGAGGAUGGCCCCCCACACUGGUACUGAGACACGGACCAGACUCCUACGGGAGGCAGCAGUAAGGAAUAUUGGUCAAUGGGCGGAAGCCUGAACCAGCCAUGCCGCGUGCAGGAAGACGGCCCUUCGGGUUGUAAACUGCUUUUAUACGGGAAUAAACCCAGAUACGUGUAUCUGGCUGAAUGUACUGUAAGAAUAAGGAUCGGCUAACUCCGUG